rnacentral:rRNA from 1 species
CAGGCUUAACACAUGCAAGUCGAGGGGUAUAGUAGCAAUACUAGAGACCGGCGCACGGGUGCGUAACGCGUAUGCAAUCUACCUUUCACAGAGGGAUAGCCCAGAGAAAUUUGGAUUAAUACCUCAUAGUAUAUAGACCUGGCAUCAGGAUUAUAUUAAAGUCACAACGGUGAAAGAUGAGCAUGCGUCCCAUUAGCUAGUUGGUAUGGUAACGGCAUACCAAGGCUACGAUGGGUAGGGGUCCUGAGAGGGAGAUCCCCCACACUGGUACUGAGACACGGACCAGACUCCUACGGGAGGCAGCAGUGAGGAAUAUUGGACAAUGGGCGCAAGCCUGAUCCAGCCAUGCCGCGUGCAGGAUGACGGUCCUAUGGAUUGUAAACUGCUUUUGCACAGGAAGAAACAACGCUACGUGUAGCGUCUUGACGGUACUGUGAGAAUAAGGAUCGGCUAACUCCGUGCCAGCAGCCGCGGUAAUACGGAGGAUCCAAGCGUUAUCCGGAAUCAUUGGGUUUAAAGGGUCCGUAGGCGGUCUUAUAAGUCAGUGGUGAAAUCUCCCCGCUCAACGGGGAAACGGCCAUUGAUACUGUAAGACUUGAAUUAUUAGGAAGUAACUAGAAUAUGUAGUGUAGCGGUGAAAUGCUUAGAGAUUACAUGGAAUACCAAUUGCGAAGGCAGGUUACUACUAAUGGAUUGACGCUGAUGGACGAAAGCGUGGGUAGCGAACAGGAUUAGAUACCCUGGUAGUCCACGCCGUAAACGAUGGAUACUAGCUGUUGGGGGCAACUUCAGUGGCUAAGCGAAAGUGAUAAGUUCCCCACCUGGGGAGUACGUUUCGCAAAAUG